GGAAGGGUACAGCUCAGUGGUUGAGCACAUGCUUAGCAUACAUGAGGUCCUGGGUUCAAUCCCCAGUACUUCCA
rfam:Camelus ferus unplaced genomic scaffold scaffold902, whole genome shotgun sequence.